rnacentral:rRNA from 1 species
AUUGAACGCUGGCGGAAUGCUUUACACAUGCAAGUCGAGCGGCAGCGCGGCCUUCGGGCUGGCGGCGAGCGGCGAACGGGUGAGUAAUGCAUCGGAACAUGCCCAGUCGUGGGGGAUAACACUUCGAAAGAAGUGCUAAUACCGCAUACGUCCUGAGGGGGAAAGCGGGGGAUCGCAAGACCUCUCGCGAUUGGAGUGGCCGAUGUCAGAGUAGCUAGUUGGUGGGGUAAAGGCCUACCAAGGCGACGAUCUGUAGCUGGUCUGAGAGGAUGAUCAGCCACACUGGGACUGAGACACGGACCAGACUCCUACGGGAGGCAGGAGUGGGGAAUUUUGGACAAUGGGGGCAACCCUGAUCCAGCCAUUCCGCGUGAGCGAAGACGGCCUUCGGGUUGUAAAGCUCUUUCGGCAGGAACUAAACGGUGGGCUCUAACAGAGUCCGCUAAUGACGGUACCUGAAGAAGAAGUACCGGCUAACUACGU